UGGGGCACUGUUUUCAAAGACGUACAGUAUUCACGAAUCUUUUUCUAACUAAUAGUACUAAUUCUAUAAUCCUAAUUCUAACCUAAUCUACUUCGCCGGGCACAGAUUAGAUGCUGCCGUCGCCGUUCUCUAUCUCCGCCAAUGAAAUCUCUCACUUCCACUGCAGCUCUACUUCUUUCUACUUCUCCGCCGUCUUUACGAUCUUCUCUCUUACCAAGUCUUCGACCUCUUCUUUAUCGAGCUCGCCUCCGCAACAAGCUUAAUCUGAGAAGAUUGGGAAAUGGAACUUGCCGGGCAGAGUUUGCAAACGAUGUGCCUUACGCCGCUGCUAUUGGUGCUUGCAUUUUGAGCUCGUGGGUUUUCCCGACUACUUACACGGAGGAGGACGAUGGUGAAUCCACAAUUGAUUCUGCUGAUGCGAGGUUUGCUGUCAUGGCAAUUAUCAGCUUCAUUCCGUAUUUUAAUUGGAUGAGUUGGGUUUUUGCGUGGUUGGAUACUGGGAAACCACGUUAUGCAGUUUAUGCUCUUGUGUAUUUGGCUCCAUAUUUAAGCAACAACCUGUCUCUAUCUCCUGAAGAUAGCUUUCUACCCAUUGCUAGCAUCCUCUUGUGCAUCUUCCACAUUCAGCUGGAAGCAUUCCAAAAAGAUGGAAACUUUCAGGUAUUAGAUAAAUUUACGGAGACUGGAACUUCAAUUGCUGGGAAGAAAGAUGUAAGAAUGUCAGAAAAGGAGGAAACAUACGAUCUUAAGAAGUUGUCUUCAGCAGAUGAGAAAAGGAGUUGGGAAAUUUCUAGAAGACCUGAAAAUCGUGAGCACUUGAAUGAAGAUGGAGAAGAUCCUACUUCAAGGAAGCAUUAAUUUUACCUGUUUAAGGCUGAGUUUUGACGGGUCUAAUGCCAAUCCUUGGAAGGAGCACAAUCAUAUGCUGGUGUGUAACUGUGAAAGUAGUUCACUGACCAAACAAUAAGCAUCUUCUGUACACAACGGAUUGAUCUUAUCGUUCUAUGAUUCAACUCUACACCAAAUAUCUGAAUUGUCUCUUAUCAAAAUUUCG
rnacentral:misc_RNA from 1 species